ACUGGGCGUGGUGGCUCACACCUGUAAUCCCAGGGACUUGGGAGGCUGAGGCAGGAGGAUCACGAGUUCAAACCCAGCCUCAGCAACUUAGUGAGGCCCUAAGCAACUCAGAGAGGCUCUAAGCAACUCAGAAAGACCCUGCCUCUA
rnacentral:sRNA from 1 species